CGCAGACCGCCAGCCAAUGAGAAGCUGCCAAGUGGCAGCUUCUCAUUAGCUGGCGGUCCAGGAGCCGUGAAUGACGCACAGCCGGCGCCAGGUUCAAAGUGCCGUCUCUCCCCCCCUCCGCCGCUGCCACAGCCGCCAGAGUGUGACUGAGCCGCGGGUUGUAACGCCCGAUCCCACCCCCCCCACCCCCCGCAGCCGCCGGAGUUAACUGUUAACUGACGCUGAGCAGCGGCCAGUAAUGCCCAUGCCCACUCCCCAUCUCCCUGCCAGCGCAGCAGCUUAAAUUCCACCCUACCCCUAAGCUUAGUGACCCGCGGCCUGUAAUGCCCUCCCCACCUCCACCGGAGCACUGUCUGCAAGUGAAUGAUGGUCCGAGGCCCUAUCCUAACCGUGGCACACCCCUGGGCGUCUGGCAGGAGAGUCAACUCGCCCUCCACAUGAAGACCUCCAGGUUCUUUGGAUCCUUCUUUCACUUCGACUCAGUGAUGGUUCUUUGGAUCCUUCUUUCACUUCGACUCAGUGAUGACAUUACAGUAAAAGAAAACAAUUUCUGAGUGGAUUUAGAAGAAAAUAUUAUCCAGAUAAGUGGUUAUGUGACAUCUGUAUGAGCAGAACAGCAACUACCAUUGUUUUACAGUACAACACCGAGGAAGAGGGGGUGAAGUAGCAUCAAGAAAGACAAUUAGAGGCCAAGACAAAGUCUCUUCCUAGAGAAUCCCACUGCAGCUAUGAAGAACGCGGGAGGUGUGUGAUAUGAGUCACUUUCAGGCUGAAAUGAUCCCCCACAUUGACUGACAACCCGCAGGGAGAAUAGAUUGCCCUGCAGGCACAGUCUGAAUCACCCACCGAACAUCUCUAACCUUCAUUUAGACUAACCAUCUAGAAACAUUUGUGUAAACAUGAAGGCGAGAUCAGCAAAUAAGUGUCUGUUGUACCUUCUUGUGUUACAUUGUUGUGCAAACAGACACAGCAGGUGACUGUUGUGCUAUAGAUAAUACUAUAGAUUGUCAGUUCUUGUGUACAAGCAAUUUACAUCUCUUGAAAGUAAAUCUAUAUAACAGAGGAGAGGGAGAGGCAUGAAGUGAGUAGAGUUUAUAAUACAGUAGUGAUCUAUUAAUAUCCACAUCAUUAUGCAGCACGUACUGUAUCUGCAAUAUACUGUAGUGUAAAGGCAUUAUUGAAUCUGCACAUUCACAGUUUCACACCAAGUUCAUUCAAUGUCUACAGAAGAGAUAUUGAAGAAAUUAUUGGAAAAGCAACAACUUCCAUUGUCUUUGAUUUACUGUAUUUUUCAGGUCAAUUUGUGCAAGAAACAUCAGCGCAGAUUGCAGUGGGCUCACAGGAUUAGGAUAAAAUGAUUUGCACAAUUCUCUCUAUAAA